rnacentral:rRNA from 1 species
GACGAACGCUGGCGGCGUGCUUAACACAUGCAAGUCGAACGAUGACGACCGAGCUUGCUCGGUCUGAUUAGUGGCGAACGGGUGAGUAACACGUGAGCAACCUGCCCUUCACUCUGGGAUAACCUCGGGAAAUCGGGGCUAAUACCGGAUAUGAGCUCCUGUCGCAUGGCGGGUGUUGGAAAGUUUUUCGGUGUAGGAUGGGCUCGCGGCUUAUCGGUUUGUUGGGGAGGUAGUGGCUCAGCAAGGCGAUGACGGGUAGCCGGCCUGGGAGGGCGACCGGCCACACGGGGACUGAGACACGGCCCAGACUGCUACGGGAGGCAGCAGUGGGAAAUAUUGCACAAUGGGCGAAAGCCUGAUGCAGCGACGCCGCGUGAGGGAUGACGGCCUUCGGGUUGUAAACCUCUUUCAGCAGGGAAGAAGCGAAAGUGACGGUACCUGCAGAAGAAGCGCCGGCUAACUACGUG